rnacentral:lncRNA from 1 species
GGUUCUUCUCCGUUCCUCCCACUCGCCGCCGCCACCUCCCGAGCCCCAGGCGCUCCAGCACCCGGAGCUCCCCCGCCCAUCGCCCACCAUGGUAAGCGAGUACCGCCGAUGCUCAAUCAGCCGCCGCACCUUUGGAUUCCGUCUGCUCUGUUGCCAGUGUUAAUCUCGCGUUCUUUUCUUUCUUCUCCCGCAGAUCAUCCCCAAGAAGAACCGCAAUGAGAUCUGCAAGUACCUCUUCAAGGGUAAGAAAUUCCUGCCCCUUCUACAUGCAGUAGAGAGUAGCAGUAUGUUUCUAUGCGAUGUUUCUUUGUCUGGAGGGGAAAGAUCCAUUAAUCUUUGCUAGAGUAGCACUAGUCUCUAGUGGAACAACUGCCCUCCCGGAGAUAGAUUAGCAGUAUGGUAUUUAGAGUUCGAUUUAUUGACGAAAUUUGCGACACCCUAUAAUCUUCGGAAUAGGAUUUACCAGGUCAACAGAGCAUUUUUAGGACAUGAUUUGUCUUCAAAUAUUUUGAUGCUAGUGACCUUUGAAACGAUAUCGGUUCUUGUUUGUUAGAGAUUUAGAGAAAUGGAGGAAUGUGAUAAUUAGUCACUGGAGCUUUUGCUCACUUGAUGUAUGUGUUGCUGCAGAGGGCGUGCUGUACGCCAAGAAGGACUACAACCUGGCGAAGCACCCGCAGAUCGAUGUGCCCAACCUGCAGGUGAUCAAGCUCAUGCAGAGCUUCAAGUCCAAGGAGUACGUCAGGGAGACCUUCUCGUGGCAGUACUACUACUGGUACCUCACCAACGAUGGCAUUGAGCACCUGCGCAACUACCUCAACCUGCCAUCUGAGAUCGUGCCUGCCACGCUGAAGAAGUCUGCCAGGCCGCCUGGCCGUCCGUUUGGCUCUGGCCCUCCUGGUGACCGCCCAAGGUAAAGCUUUUUCUUUCUAUCUUGAGGCUUUGUUAUAUCCACGUUAAAUUGUGCACUCAACAAACAUGUGAUAUGAUUCUGGAUGUUUGCUGCACGUGUCUGGUGAUAAUUCAGUUGGAGAAGUACAACCACAUCAUUAGUAGUGUUGUGUGUUUCCAAUUUUGAUAGGAAAUUUCAUCAUCUGAUAGGAUCAUGUGCUUGUAUUUGCCCAUUGUGUUAUGCUACACAAUCUUUACUAGGAAUUUGUCAGUAGCUGAGGUGUUGUCAGAAUUAGACAUGCGUGCCACUUAUGCAGCUUGUUGUUGCACGAGUUAAAUCAAACAUACAUUUAAAUUAAAGAACUGUGGGUUUGUGGUGCUUAUUUGUACCUAGUUAUAAUUUGUUUGAUUGAAUCUGUUCUUGGGUGUAGCGCAUUGUUGUAGUGCUUCAAGAAUAUAUGGGUAGAUUAAGCUAAUUUUAGGGCAACUAGGAAGAUAACAUCUACAGAAUGCUCAGUUUUGUAUUAUUUGUAGAUACUUUACUUAUCCUGUUGCCCUCUUUUUAGAAAUUGAACGAGGUAAUUUAAUUUUUUGUCGUUGCUUGUAAUGUUUGCAGGGGCCCACCUCGCUUUGAAGACAGGCCAAGGUUUGGUGAGAGGGAUGGGUACCGUGGUGGUCCUCGUGGUGCUCCUGGUGACUUCGGUGGUGAGAAGGGCGGAGCUCCUGCAGAGUUCCAGCCAUCUUUUAGGGUAAUUGUUUUCUUCACUAGUUUUGAACAUUAUUGAUGCAAAUCUGCAAUUGUUCUUCCACAUAUUGCUGCGCGCUUCACCGUGCUGCAUUUGGUCUUAGCCCCACUUUGAUCAUUUAUUUAAAAAAGAAGCUAUCAGCAUGGUUUAAAUCGUAGAUCAUAAUGUUUACUCUAUUUUUUAUAUGCUCAGAGCUUGAAUUAAGUCAUGAUCACCAGUUAAUUUACAGACAAAGCAGAGGCACAUUCUAGACUUAGUUUGACCCUUGCUGCACCUGCUGUCUUGCAUUGGCCCCUUGAGCUGUUCUUGCCCUUUCUAUUGUGUAACUUGUCAGACAAAUUAGCAAUGUGAAACAUGAGUUGGUCAGGAAUUUGCACUGUUGGCGGGAGUUGCUUUAUGGAAGAGUUCCUUGCUUUUUCCCUAUAUUCUAGGGAUGUUGAAUGGACUAUUAGGUUGCAAACUAUCAUGCACCAUCUGUUUCAUGAAUGCUAAUGUUUAUUUCCAUCCCACAAACUCUGCAGGGUUCUGGUGGCAGACCUGGCUUUGGCCGUGGCGGCGGCAGCGGCUUUGGUGCUGGCCCAACCUCUUCAUCCAUGGAGUGAAGUUGCCCCUAGUUUGGACAUGGUGUUUCCCUUCGCGCGAGGCGUUUAAUUUUGAAGGACAGUUAUUAUGUACUAGUAAUGUUAUCCGGAUCGGCAAGUGCUGACAUAUGCAGAAAAAUUGUGCUAUCUUGAUACCUUGGUUCCAGUAUAAUAGU